CCCUGGGUGGUGCAAAUGGUUAACAUGCCUGGCUGCUAACCAGAAAGGCUGGUGGUUUGAGCCCACCCAGGGG
rnacentral:tRNA from 1 species